CGGCAUUAAGGAGAUAGUUUAGGGCACUCGGCAUAGCUUUCACCUGGUGAAAUGUCAUGGCAUUAAGGAGAUAGUGUGUCUUCCUGUCUGUUUCCUACUUCCAGGUGUCUCGUCAUGUCUGUUUCCUACUUCCAG